AGAUUUCCAAAACAACAAGGUUUGGGGCUCCAAAUUCUCCACUGCAUAAAAAAAAAACCUCUCCUCUUUCUCCACGAAAUAGCUCCAUUCCUUCUCUCUUCAUAUGUAAAGUAUACAACGAUGCCUUAUACUAGGUAACAUCUCUCUAUACAAUCUCUCGUUUUGAUUCCUCUCUGACUCUCUUGUUUGGUGAGGAAGAUCGAUUAUCUGAUUCUAUUAUAACUCAGUUUAGAGGAAGACAGCUUGAUUCCAAAGCUACCUCUCUCUAAAGGCUCUACCACCAUCAACUGAAGCCACAUUUCAAUCACCAAUAAGAGACACAGCCACAACCAUUUCACUCUCAUUGCCUCCGCCGAUGUCUCUGCUGGGGGAAAGCGAGAAAAUUUUGUAGGUGUAAUGACGGUAGAGAAAUUGUUCAAAGCAAUCAACCUUGCCGAGAGAAGAUGCGAGAAGCACCUGAAGAUAAAGCCAAAAAGCUAUGAAUAAGGCUUUUGAAAGUGUAAGGGCUUCUAGCUCGAGCAAAUACCUCUUGCGUCUCUAUAACAGAUGUGAUUCAGUGUUUGUGCAGUGAGAGGAAAGUCCGCACCGUCAAUUAAUAUUCUCACUAGGAACUUGGCAUGGGAGUUGUAAUUGCUUCUAGCUCAGUUGCUCAAACAACACUAGGAUUCAGCAUAAAGUUUUCAAAUUACUUAGCCACAGUAAAAGGACCGUUGAUUGUGGCAUUCAAAGAAGAUAAAUCCAAUGACAGACCUUUGAUUGCACCUCGUGAGCAAAUCCAUUUGCCUGUGCAAGCACCCAUUGGGAAGAAGAGACAAGGAAAAAUUAACAAUGAAUUAUCUUCAAACACCCUAGAAGUGGAUUACAAUGAAGCUGCUGUUAAGCUUGAAAAUUUAUACAAGCUUAGCCCUGCAACUGAUGCUUCUGAUGUAGAUGGAAAUGUCUUAAAGGGGAAAGGUCAGCGAAGGAAAAGGAAAACUGGUGAAGAUGACAAGAAAGCAGAGAAUUGAACUAGUAAAAUCAUUGUUAAGAACCCUGCAAAGAAAACUAAAUAAUUGAGUGUUGAUAAAAGAAUUGCAAUGAGGAAAAACAAGGUAGAGGAAGUGUUAACUCAAGUUAAGAAGAAAACAAAAGCUAAGGAUGAAGAUGAAAAGAUUGAAGAACUUGUGAGUGAGUAUUAUGCUUUAACUAAUUUGGUCAGCUUAGAAUGGGAAAAAAAUGAAGAUACCUCCAAUUCUCCUUCAACAGAGCAUGCCUGGUUGUUUGAUGCAACCCGUAAAGAUAUGACUUUGCGAAUGAUGAAGACGUAAUUGAAGUAACUUUUUUGGGGUGAAGUGUUCAAAAGUAAUUUGGAAGACAUUGUUGAUUUUAUUUUAAUCUUUACAUAAUUUUAGUUAUUUUCUUUUCAUGUACAAACUAAGUGCGAAUAUAUCAAAUCGAUAUUUUAGACAGUUGUUAUGACAUUAUUGAGAUUAAUUUAUGAAUAUUAUUCUAGUUA